rnacentral:rRNA from 1 species
UUUGAAAAGAGAGUUAAACAGCACGUGAAAUUGUUGAAAGGGAAGCGUUUGCGACCAGACUCGCCCGCGGGGUUCAGCCGGCAUUCGUGCCGGUGUACUUCCCCGUGGGCGGGCCAGCGUCGGUUUGGGCGGCCGGUCAAAGGCCCUCGGAAUGUAUCACCUCUCGGGGUGUCUUAUAGCCGAGGGUGCAAUGCGGCCUGCCCGGACCGAGGAACGCGCUUCGGCUCGGACGCUGGCGUAAUGGUCGCAAAUGACCCGUCUUGAAACACGGACCAAG